AAAGUCGUAACAAGGUUUCCGUAGGUGAACCUGCGGAAGGAUCAUUAUCCAUCUCAACCAGGUGCGGUCGCGGCCCUCGGGGGUUCUCUCCCGGGUGGUAGGGGUAACACCCUCACGCGCCGUAUUUCUGAACCCUUUUUUUACGAGCACCUUUCGUUCUCCUUCGGCAGGGCAGCCUGCCGUUGGAACCUAACAAAACCUUUUUUGCAUCUAGCAUUACCUGUUCUGAUACAAACAAUCGUUACAACUUUCAACAAUGGAUCUCUUGGCUCUG
rnacentral:misc_RNA from 1 species